GUCCACGCUGUAAACGAUGGAUACUAGGUGUAGGCGGAUACAAACCCCGUCUGUGCCGAAGCCAACGCGUUAAGUAUCCCGCCUGGGGAGUACGACCGCAAGGUUAAAACUCAAAGGAAUUGACGGGGGCCCGCACAAGCAGCGGAGCGUGUGGUUUAAUUCGAUGAUACGCGAAGAACCUUACCUGGGUUUGACAUCUCUGUAGUAGGAAAGCGAAAGCGGCCCGACCCUUCGGGGAGCAGAGACAGGUGCUGCAUGGCUGUCGU
rnacentral:rRNA from 1 species